rnacentral:lncRNA from 1 species
AAUAAAUCAAGCAGCUCCUCUGUCGUAACGUCGUCCUUCCUGUGCAUUUGUCAGAGGCCCUGGAUGGCUGGGUUUACUGAAGGUUAGAGAUGCACGGCGCUUUGAAGACAGGCUCAGGCAACGGCGAGGGCCAGCACGCCACCAGGGCCGCCUGACGGGGAGCAGCUGCUGCAGAGGAGUCAAGUGGCAGGACCUGACCUCGGGACAUUUUGAAGCAAAGGGACAGGGGUUGAUUACACAGGAGGUAGCUCCGCAGGACGUGCUGGGGAAGAACCAAUGCCCUGGGGCCCGAUGACAUGGGCUAGAGCCUCAGAUCUGUCAGGGGUUUCCUGUGAGACCGAGACCUCAGUCGUCUCACUUGAAGGGUCGGAUGGGUAAUCCUGAAGCUUCCUUUUAGCCCUCGCACGCUCUGAUGCCAUGGAUUGAAGAUGGUUCUUGACAUGCUGCUUCUCUUAAAGGGCAGUUAGGAAACCAACAGGUUUGAUGUGCUAUUUUGGACGUAGGAAGUUAAUUUUCAUUUUUAGGGGAAAGGAAAGAAAGCACAAUAGUAGUAAAGAAACAAAGCACUCCUGAUUUUUUUUUUCGUCUCCCAGGUUUGUACCGGAUUGUGAGGUCUGGGAAACCAGGGACCUUAUUUCACUUGGAAACCCUGAUUCUUAGUACAGAACCUGAGACCUGAGUUUCUGAUCAAAGCAACAGAAUGAAUACAGAUAAUCUAAAGGUUCACCAAAUAUCAAGACAUUUUCCUAAGUACAAACAGAAUGACGACUUGGAGAUUCUGGUGACAGAGAUAAGACCCAGGUUAUGGUCACUUUCCACAGCUCUUGCCCUGGGCUUUCCAAUCAGGAAGCUAGCUGGGGUGAUGGAACUGCUCUGAACCAGCUUCCCAGGCGCCUGGCAUCUAAAUCAAAUUUUAACUUUAAUUCACUGAGACAUUUUAACUUCGUAGUAGAGAAACUUCAGGAGCCAUGAAACAGAUUCGCAUCAGGGGCCUCCUGACACGAAUCCCUGGGAAGACACAACAUUGCUUCAGUGUUAUGGCUGCCCGAAGUGUAUAAUUUCAACCCAAUCACAAGGAAACACCAGCAAACGCAAAUUGAAAGUUUACAAAACUGCUGGCCUGUACUCUUUUAAAAAAU